rnacentral:rRNA from 1 species
AACGUAGGGGACAAGCGUUAUCCGGAUUUACUGGGCGUAAAGCGCCCGUAGGCGGCUUGAUAAGUUGGACGUGAAAGCUCCCGGCUUAACUGGGAGAGGCCGUUCAAAACUGACAGGCUAGAGUGAGGAAGAGGAGAGCGGAAUUCCCGGUGUAGUGGUGGAAUGCGUAGAUAUCGGGAGGAACACCAGUGGCGAAAGCGGCUCUCUGGUCCUAAACUGACGCUGAGACGCGAAAGCGUGGGGAGCAAACAGG